rnacentral:lncRNA from 1 species
GCAUAUAUCACAAAACAAAUAUCCAUUUCCGAACUUAACACACAAACAUUGUGACAAGUCAGGAAAUGAAGAAUAUUUCUGCUUUCUACACAUUCUCAUAAUUUUUCUUAUUUUAUCAAUGGAUACAUUGUGUGUAGAAAGCGAAUCCAGGAUCUUAAACAUAUCCCCUUUUAAAUUCAAAGAGAUGAAUUUUAUCAGAGGUCGCAGUAACAGGCAGAUUCUCGCCAAACCCUAUCCUUCGCCAGCUGCAAAUCCUCCUGGUCGUUUGUAAGAGACCUUUAACUGACUCUUUUCUGUCUUUUAUUACUGUUUUCUGAAAGAUUUCUCACAGUAAAUUUUCUUGUUGCACGCAGAGGCUAUAGUCCACCACCUAUGAGGAAGAAAUAAGGAAGCACUCAAUGAUGGACACAGAUCUAGGAUUCUAAGUUCAUGGUUCGACCUAAGAUAAUGAGUACUGAACUGAUUGUACUGAUUGUUUUUUAAAAUUACGGGGUUCAGAUUAUUACUCCAUCCGUUUUAUAUUGUUUGAGAUAGUUUGACUCGGCACGGAUUUUAAAAAAAAGAUUUUUAAAACUUGUGGUCUUAAAAGAUUAAGGGGUAAAAAGUUUGUGGGACCAUAUCAUUUAUGUGGCUAUAAAAGUUUCUCACUAAGGACAAAAAUUGUAAAAAUAAAGAGCGUAAAGUUGGAUUAUUUCCAAAUUUAGAAAUGUGUCAUUUAAUUUGGAACAGACUAAAAAGGAAAGUAUUUCAAAUAAUAUGAAACUAAGGGAGUAUAAGUUUAGUAAUUUUCACAUAUGCAAUUAACUCUCUUUAUAACAGUCAUGCGUUUUCCUAUUAUUUUGGUUUUUAUAGUGAAUGACUAUUAGAUACCUAGAACAACG